rnacentral:rRNA from 1 species
UACGUAGGGGGCAAGCGUUGUCCGGAAUCAUUGGGCGUAAAGAGCGUGUAGGCGGCCCGAUAAGUCCGCCGUGAAAGUCCAGGGCUCAACCCUGGAAUGCCGGUGGAAACUGUCGGGCUGGAGUCCGGAAGAGGCGAGUGGAAUUCCCAGUGUAGCGGUGAAAUGCGUAGAUAUUGGGAGGAACACCAGUGGCGAAGGCGGCUCACUGGACCGGUACUGACGCUGAUGCGCGAAAGCGUGGGGAGCAAACAGG